UACGAACCGUCCAAACGUUAUUCGGAUUCACUGGGCUUAAAGGGUGCGUAGGCGGCCCGGAAAGUUGGGUGUGAAAGCCCUCGGCUUAACCGAGGAAUUGCGCCCAAAACUACCGGGCUUGAGGGAGAUAGAGGUGGGCGGAACUUAGGGUGGGGCGGUGAAAUGCGUUGAUAUCCUAAGGAACACCUGUGGCGAAAGCGGCUCACUGGGUCGCUUCUGACGCUGAGGCACGAAAGCUAGGGGAGCGAACGGG
rnacentral:rRNA from 1 species